AUAAGGGGCUAGCUCAAGCUUAGGCUCAGUCUCCGCUAACCAAAACAUGGUGGCUCACACGGAACUAUCUGCCCAGCUUCCACAUGAGAAAAUAGUGAGCAGUGGCAAAGAUCUAGAAUGUAGGAGCGGUGACUCAGGCAGCGGCGUGACGGGGAGGCAGGAGGUGCAGGAUAACUCUGUGCAAAAGAAUCUCACAAGUCAACCAAAUGGAGGUUCGGCUUCUAAGAAAUCGUACCAUAAGGAAGAAGAAUGCUCCCUCUUUGUGGCUUUCUUCACCUUUCUCUCCUAUGGAGUGCUCCUGAUGCUUGGCUAUGUGAGGGAAUUUUUUAUACCUGUCACCACCAAGGAGAAGAACAGAGAACAUAAGAAAAAGAAUGCAUUUGUCACAACACAAAUAAGGGAUAUCGAGGAGUGUCCAUCGUUCACCAACUUCACCAUCUAUCUGUCCUAUGGGGUCCUCUUCCUCGUUGGAUACGUCAAAGAGUUCUUCUACCCACCAUCAACGAAAGAGACAAAUAGAGAGGGAUAUGUGCCUCUUUACAUUGGCUUUGAGAGCUUCUACACUCGCAAUGUUUAUCGGCGUAUUCAAGACUGUUGGAAUAGACCCAUUUCCAGCGUGCCUGGAGCUGAGAUUAACCUGCUGGAGCGGUACACUCCUGACUAUGGUUGGACUAUGAAAUUGACGGGUAAGAUAUUGAAGUGCAUAAAUGCUGGGUCAUACAACUAUCUUGGGUUUGCGGAGAACCAUGGCCCAUGUCACGAUGCUGCCGAGGUGACAACGAAGGAAGUCGGCAUCACCACUAGCAGCCCACGGCUUGAGCUUGGAACUCUUGAAAUCCACAAGAAGUUGGAAGCACUGGUGUCAGAAUUUUUGGGUGUGGAGGAUGCAAUCACUUUUGGCAUGGGGUUUGCCACCAAUGUGCUCAACUUGCCAUCUAUUCUUGGUCCCAGCUGCCUGGUGCUCUCAGAUGAGUUCAACCAUGCCUCUCUUAUCUUGGGCCUGAGACUGUCUGGAGCCACUGUGAAGGUUUUCCAGCACAACAAUGCAGCUGACCUUGAAAAGAAACUGCGAGAAGCCCUCAUCCAUGGCCACCCCAGAACACGGCGGCCCUGGAAGAAGGCCAUGAUUGUGGUGGAGGGAAUCUACUCCAUGGAAGGAAGCAUUUGUGACCUACCCAACUUCAUCAGAAUUAAGAAAAAGUAUAAGACUUACCUGUACGUUGAUGAGGCCCACAGCAUAGGUGCACUGGGGCCGAGGGGUGGAGGUGUAGUGGACUACUAUGGUGCUGACCCAAAGGAUGUGGACAUCCACAUGGGAACCUUCACUAAGAGUUUUGGUGCUGCUGGUGGAUACAUUGCUGGAUCCAAGGACCUAAUCGACCAUCUGCGAGUGAAUAGUCAUGCUCAGUCAUAUGCUGCCUCCAUGCCUCCACCUGUAGCCCAGCAGAUCAUCACCUCCAUGUCCAUCAUUAUGGGCAAGGACGGCUCUGUUGAAGGAAAACGACGGAUAAAUCACCUUGCUAGGAAUACAAAGUACUUCCGUCGAAAAGUAAAGCAAAUGGGGUACAUAGUGUUCGGCAAUGAGGAUUCCCCAGUGGUGCCAGUGUUAUUGUUUCUGCCUGCCACCAUCGCGUCGCAGGCGCAUUCAACAACUGGCCAGGAAUGUGAAAUAUUUCCGACAACGCCUCAGGCAGAUGGGAUUCAUUGUUUAUGGCCACGAUGAUUCACCUGUUGUGCCCUUGCUCUUGUACCUGAUUCCUAAGAUUACAAUGUUUGUACGGGAGCUGACCAAGCGAGGCGUUGCUGGGGUUGGUGUGGGUUUCCCAGCCACGAAAAUCACAGGUGGACGAAUGAGGUUCUGUCUGUCUGCUUCCCACACCAAGGAGAUGCUUGACAAGAUCCUGAAAGAGGUGGAUGUGGUUGGUGACAUGUGUUCUUGCAAGUACUCCAAAAUCCCUAAGAGUUGCAAACCCAUCGAGUGGUAGGAGAGCUGUGUGAUCUCUGGUUAGGGUGUGCCAGGGACUCAGCACACACACCUGGAGAACACAGUAACCACUUCUGUACUGCAGAUUCUCUCCUCUACACAAAUAGUAUUUUGGUUAUUUUUUUUUAAUAUAGAUUUUAUAUAUAACAUUUUAGUGGUAUUCAGCAGUAAGAGUAUGUCUGCAAUUCUUUAGUAUCUCAGAUUUUGACAAGAGAAAGUGUACCACCUCCCUGGAUUACUCUGUAUGUUGGAAAUUUUCUGUACAGUUGAUUUAUCCAUGUUGACAUCCAGACAUAACAUUGUAUGAAAAAUCAAGCAGCACAGGACUGCAGUGCCAUGGUUCAUCUACUGGUUGAGUUCCACCCAACCAACUUUAUUACCUGUGUGUACAUUAUCUGAUGUAGUGGGGAUGUAAUAUAGUAUAUGUACAUGUGGUAAUAGUACUUGUAGUAAAUGCCAUUUCCAUGAAGUUAUUAAGGCAAAACAAAAAUUAAUGCUGAAAAUGGGCUCGUAAAGACUAUCAAUAGAAUAUAUUAUUUUGUGCAUCACAGUGUAGCAGCAUUUUGCCUGUGGAAACAGUGCUGUCAUUUUAGGGGAAUGAAAAAGAUGCAGUGAGAUUGUUAGUACCAUUUGCUGAAGCAUUGAUACCUUGUUACUGAUCUAGUCAGGAGGUUGCACUAGCAGUGGAAACUACUGUUUGAUUGUGCUCUCAGAAUGUGCUUGCAUUUACCGAAACUUGCAUGUCUGGUGGUGCCUCCAUCAUCACCACUGCUUACUGUUUGCAUGCAUAUUUACAAAUGGUUAUUUUAAUACUGAAAAUAUACUUGAUUGAGUUUUCAGCAUAUAGUAGUGCCUUGUUGGGAUAGGUAAAAAAUUCUGAAGGUAUAAAAUUAUUGAACUUGUAGGAUGGUACAUAGAAAUAUUAAUUUUUCAGAUGUGGAAUUGUUCUUGUAGAAUCUAUUUGUGAUUCAAUAAUGAAAAAAUAAAAUAGGAUGGAAACUAAUGUAAAUCAAUAUUUUAUAGUUAUCAAUGUAGUUAUAUUUAAAAAGCAUUAAAGACCUUACUGUAAUUUAAUAUUUUGUUACAAAACUGGAAGGAAUUUAAUAUAUUUCAAGGUCACAUUGAUAGGUGAGAAGGCAAAUUUUACAAUAAGGGGAUAAAGUACUGGUGAAAUAGUAAGUCAGGUGUCUUGUAUCAGGAAUCACAGGUUAGGUAGGUAUGAGCAACAGACGCUUAGCUUUUCAAGUUGUUGUGGGUUGUUACCCAGCAUGUGCCUUCUUCAACACUGUGAAGCUGAAUAAUACCUGUGUUAGACCACUCUGCCAUCACUGCCUGCUUGUAGAGUAUUCAGCACACAAGCCAAAGAAAGUGUUGAUGAGUUACUGUAUGUGUUCAUUCAGUUCAGCAAAGCUUACUCUGAUGACUUCACAGUGAUCUGUAUUCCACUCUGGUGUUCUGAGUGCCUCUUUGUUGGUCAUCCUCUUCUUUAUCAUGCUUUCCUCCACAAGUACUUGAAGAAUGUAUACCUGCAUAGUAAGUGACUUAGGUGUUUAAGGUUCAUAAAAUGUAUAAGAUUUGUUGACUGAGAAAUGGUUCUAUUUCAUGAAUAGCUUAUGUAUGAAAUUAGUGUUUUCAUCUCCUGUGUGCAAAUGGAGAUUUAUAUUGUUGAAGCAUUCAUAGAUGAUUGAUGUAGCAUUGUGUCUUCAUGUUAUGAUUCUUGUUAUAUGUCACCCUGAGGAUAAACAAUGAUGAUUCUCCAGUUAGUAUUUUAUAUUCACAUGUGAUUCCCAAGUUUCCAUGGUUGAUGUUUUUGCUCAUAUGUUAUAUGCAACAAGAAAAUUCCAAUUUAAAUAUGUUUCACAAUAAUUUUGCUGUGCCAGCAUGGACAUAUAGUACUCUGUCACACAGAACUGCUGUCUCAAGUUGCCAUUCGGUUCAAGUGAAACAAGGUUGUUUCUCAGUGUGAUGCCUUUCUUGGCGUCAUUGCUGUUCUCGGCAUCAUUAAGUGUAAAGUGAAAUGUACGUUUUUUAAGUUACUAUUCUGAUUCUCUAUGCAUAUAUCUAUGGGCUAAGUUUAUUUACUGCAAUUCAUUGUAUUAUAGGUUUUAAUAAUCACAUCUGUGUUAUUUUUCUUGUUUUCUGCUUUGAAUUAUUGGCAUUAUUCCAUUGAUGAAACUUCUGAAGUGAUUGAUUUUCACUCUUGGAUAUGAAUUGUAGUGAACCAGUGGCCCUUCCAUAAAUGGUAAUGAUCAUUCUUAUAAAACUGAAAACAUCCUCACCAAUGUAUUCAUAAAUUCCAAAUCUCUACAGCAUUCUAAGACAGUGUCAAGUUUUAGUCUGGUUUAGGAAUUGGUGCAUUGGUGUCAUGGCACUUAUGUAUAAUUUUUCUUUCAUCUGCACUGCACCUUGAUUGCCUCCACAUCCUAUAGCAAGAGGGACAAACCUGGAUCUUGUUACAACCUCUUGACCUUGCAAGCUAUAGGUAUAAUCUUCACCAUAUCAUAUUAGAUGAUGCAGGGACACCAUUUGAGGUUUGGUAAAUAAGUUUCUGAUAGCAAAAUCAUAGUAUUUAUAUCAGUCGUAUUAUACUGUUAUUUGAGUGCUUAAUGUUCUUAAUUUGUGUUCCUAUUUUGUUGACAGGGAUAUAGACAGGGAUAUAGAGAUUUUUAAUUUUUUACUUGGGCUUGUAUCCUGCUUCACCUUAUAUUUUCAAUUUUUUCAUGGAUUCAAGGUUCUGUCGCAAUCUUCUUACCUUCAAGUUUCAGAGUUAUCAAUAUAUUUAUUGUGAAGCUCAAAUUAUUUAGUGGCUGUUUUAUCAAGAGUUAAUAGUUCUAACACCUUUGUAAAAAUAUUUUGUUCACUCAUUAUUGCUGUGAGAAUUGCACAUCAUGUCUGAUGCACAAGUUUGCUUCUACAUAUCCUAUUGGUUAUCAGCAUGCCAUGCCUCUUUUCCACUAGAGGACCCUGGUCUGGCUUGUCCAAUUGACAGAGUGUAGUGAAUUUGUGUUGAGACUGCAAGUCAAAAUAAGCAUAAUUCCUCAAGUAAUAAACAUCAAACAUCUACAGUGGAACCUUGGUUUUUUAACUUAAUUCGUUCCUGAGUGCUGUUUGAAAUCUCAAAUGUUAAAAAACUGAAACAAUUUUUCCCAUAGGAAUCAAUGUAAAAUAGAUUAAUCUGUUCUCAGACACCCAUCCACCAUGUCUUAGUGAGUAAUACCCGACACUCCCACUGCUAAGAUGGCUCCACAACAUAUCCAGCUUAGAAAUUUUCUAUCCAGAAAGGAUGUAUUGAAUGAACUCAUCAAAAAAUAUUUCGACCAUCCAGGCAUUCUCUUUGCCACCAACCAAGUGAGGAAAGCCUUAUAGAGUGACAGAGAGGAGCAACUCACUUAUCGCCAAGAUGAAGGUGAUCAAAACACUUGGACAUCUUUCUGCUGGGAAAAUGCAGAUGUGCAGUAGUGAUGACAUUGUGGGUGAUAGAGAGAGCCACAGGAAGCUCAGGACUAGUCCUGAGCACCAAUCCUUGUUUGUUUACAUCGAGGUUCUUCAACGGGAUAACAUUUAACUUAUUUCAAAGAUUGAAUUACUGCCUUACUCUAUGUCUGUCCGCCAGAUAUAUAAAAAUGAAGGAAAUAUUUAUAGAAACUAUAAAUUAGGAAUAAAUGGCAACUUUGCUACAUCAUGUAGUAUUUGAAAUCAAGUAACUUUGUUCAAAACCGAUUUGUUUGGAAUGGGAGAUGUUCGGUAACUGAGGUUCCACUGUACUUGUAUUAUGUUAGAUUCUAGAAAGCAAACAUGGUUCUAAAGCCAAACAGUUAACAACUGUAAGUGACAUUUGUCUCAGCUGUGUACACUUUUGGCAAUUACCUGGCACUGUUCCAGGCAUGGCAAAUCUGAUAGUUCCCUGGGUGGCUGAGGAUGGCACUGCUUCAGGUGUGGCACACCUGACAGUUCCCUGGGUGGCUGAGGAUGGCACUGCUCCAGGCAUGGCACACCUGACAGUUCCCUGGGUGGCUGAGGAUGGUACUGCUUCUGGCAUGGCACACCUGACAGUUCCCUAGGUGGCUGAGGAUGGCACUGCCUGUAUAGCCACUUUAUUACUGGACAUUGUUUUUACAUAUAUUUCUGUUUUCUUUCCCAUCUUUUCUCUUGGCACAGCAUUGAAAUAAUAGGGCAUUUAAAUGUGAGGAACUAGCUAGUAGUACAAGUAGUGGUAAUGGUUGCCUGUUAGCCUGUCAAAAGUUUUAUGGUCUGGUGUAAAGAGUUUCUAUAUUUUCCCACCUUUUCUCUGCUAUCAAGAGGGUAGAUCAUGGAAUUCCUUAUGUCUGUUGAUCUUUUGACUUCAGUCUUCUUUUCUGACUGAUAAAAUUUAUUUUUUUGACAUCUGAUAGAAAAUAGUCCUGUUUUUUACCUUCACUAUACUUCUUAUCAAUUUCCAUUUCUUUCCCUUUUUAAUGUGCUCCUGUUUUGGUUACUAUCAAUGAUGUGAAAGUUGUGUGUUUUGUUAUUACUAGUAUUUUGAUGGUGUCAUCUAAUUUGUUUUUCUUUUAAUUCACAGAAUCCAGCCAUCACCAAUCUUAUGUUUGUUACAAGUUUUAUUGUGUGUGUUUGUAAAUGCUGCAUAUCGCUGUUAAAUUUGAUCUGAAAUUCAGCCUAUUGGCCAAAGAUUUAAAUGUCUUCUCUUGUAUUGUUUAUAUUUCUCAUGUGCUUGUAAUUGGAGUUGAAAUUGCAUUCUGUAUAAUACAAAAUCUAGAAUUUUG